UUGCGUAAUGAUCCCGGUGCAAAAUCGCAGCGCAGUGGUACAUGUGCAUUACAGACGGCGGCUGUAGAUUUAAUUCUUUCGGGAGAAAAACCUUAUUUAGUGUUCUAAUGAACGGACAAAGUUUUCUUCUGAAAGGCUUAAAGUCAUUCCCCGUAAAACACGUACAUCACUUCGAAAAGAAAUAAUCCUUUUGAGUCGCAGUCUGACCUGUAAUAAAAAUGAACCCCUCGGGGAUUGCAGGGAGGAAGAAUGUUUUUUUAAUUUUAAUAUAAAACGAGUAUGAGUAAGGAUCUUCGAAGGCGAUUCGAGAGGGACGUCAGGUGGGAGCAAAGUGACGCAAUACGGAACACGCAUUGCCGUGUUUUGGCUCUUUCCUCGCUUCAAUUUCAGGAAUGCGAUUUUUAUGUUCUCUCGGCGAGCGUGCCGCGCAAACAAACCGGGCAUGUCCCGCACGUCGCAUAAUUCUCUCACGAACAUGAGAGGGAAGAAGGGAUAGGGGGAGCAGAUGCGUGCCCUUCCGCCUCCGAAAUUAAAGUCGGGGACGAAAAUUAACGUCGCCGUGCGGAUGGAGACCUCAGUUGUGCGAUCGAUAUCUUAUCCAUUUCAGAGGAUUGGAUCGUGCCAUCAAUUAAAACCCGAUUGACACCGAUUCACUUUUCGGUGCGAACAUCAAUAUGGUGUCGUCGAUAAGUCAAAACAUCUAAGGGCGACUUUGAAAGACCAAACUCUGUUUAACUUGAUCGACGAUUAAUCCCAAUCGGCAAAAUCGCUUGAGGGGAAACUUCUGGUUAUGGAAGAGAAGAA